CAAGAACUCUGAUGCGCUUAUCCCUGGGUCGAUGGAGGACCAUAUUCUGUGUCCCACUGGUGGGGCAACAUAAA
rnacentral:lncRNA from 11 species